rnacentral:rRNA from 1 species
GACGAACGCUGGCGGCGUGCCUAAUACAUGCAAGUCGAACGAACCGCGACUGAGUGCUUGCACUUGGUCAAGGUGAGUGGCGAACGGGUGAGUAACACGUGGGUAACCUACCUCAUAGUGGGGGAUAACAGUCGGAAACGACUGCUAAUACCGCAUAGGACAUAGGAUCACAUGAUCCAGUGAGGAAAGGUGGCGCAAGCUAUCGCUAAGAGAUGGACCCGCGGUGCAUUAGCUAGUUGGUAGGGUAAAGGCCUACCAAGGCGAUGAUGCAUAGCCGACCUGAGAGGGUGAUCGGCCACAUUGGGACUGAGACACGGCCCAAACUCCUACGGGAGGCAGCAGUAGGGAAUCUUCCGCAAUGGACGCAAGUCUGACGGAGCAACGCCGCAUGAGUGAAGAAGGUCUUCGGAUCGUAAAGCUCUGUUGUUAGAGAAGAACAGCGCAUAGAGUAACUGCUAUGCGUGUGACGGUAUCUAACCAGAAAGCCACGGCUAACUACGUG